UACGUAGGAUGCAAGCGUUGUCCGGAUUUACUGGGCGUAAAGCGCGCGCAGGCGGCUUGGUAAGUAAGGUGUGAAAUCUCCCUGCUCAACGGGGAGGGUGCACUUUAGACUGCUAGGCUUGAGGUCGGUAGAGGGGGGUGGAAUUGCUGGUGUAGCGGUGAAAUGCGUAGAGAUCAGCAGGAACACCCGUGGCGAAGGCGGCCCCCCUGGGCCGAUAAAACACCUUCUUCGGAAGGUUACCUGACGCUGAGGCGCGAAGGCUAGGGGAGCGACCCGG
rnacentral:rRNA from 1 species